rnacentral:rRNA from 1 species
UGUACACGCUGUGACUAGCAUAUCAAUAAGCGGAGGAAAAGAAACUAACAAGGAUUCCCCUAGUAACGGCGAGUGAAGCGGGAAGAGCUCAAAUUUGAAAUCUUAAAGGGUUUCCCUUUACGAAUUGUAGUUUAAAGAAGUGUUUUCUGUUGAGGUUUUGGUAAAAGUUCUUUGGAAUAGGACAUCAUAGAGGGUGAGAAUCCCGUAUUUGACCUUUACUUUCAACUUUGUGACACACUUUCAAAGAGUCGGAUUGUUUGGGAAUGCAGUCCAAAAUGGGUGGUAAAUUUCAUCUAAAGCUAAAUAUUGGCGAGAGACCGAUAGCGAACAAGUACCGUGAGGGAAAGACGAAAAGAACUUUGAAAAGAGAGUUAAACAGUACGUGAAAUUGUCAAAAGGGAAGCGUUUGACACCAGUGUUGUUUUUCUGAAAAUCAAUUAAAGAACUGUUUAUGCUAAGUUGUUUAGACUUUAUCAGCUAACUGUUUAGUUUUGAGCUUUUCUUUAAUGCACUUUUCAGUUAACAAGUCAUCAUCAAUUUCCUUUUGCUGUAAAAAAGCUUGAGGAAGGUGGCUUGAGAUUCGUCUUAAGUGUUUAUAGCCUCUUGCCUAUGCAGUCGGAGAGAUUGAGGUCUGCAGCGUAGAUCCUUCGGGGCUAAAUGCAUUUGUGCUAAGUUAUAGCAUUUUAUAGACAACUUGUUGACUAUGAUUUGUCUUGUAGCUUACUCGCUUAUGUUAUUUUACCUACGCUUAGGAUGUUGAGUCGUAGAGCACGCAG